rnacentral:tRNA from 1 species
GUAGUCGUGGCCGGGUGGUUAAGCCGAUGUACUAGAAAUCCAUUGGGCUCUGCCCGCGCUGGUUCGAAUCCUGCCGACUACG